CCCGAGCCAUCCUCAACCUAACCCACCUCCUUCCGCCGGCAGCCGUCGUGGGCGAGCGAGCGAUGGCGUCAGCCGGAGCGAGGGAGCCCGCGGCGCCGUGACUGGCCGCCGACGGAGCCCAUCGAACUGAACCUCCCCGCGGCCCACCACUUCUUCCACCUUCCUUCUUCCGCAGCGAGUGGAUCGGCCGCACCGACCACCGGCCUCACCACCGCGCCGCCGCCCAGCGCGCCGCCGCCCCAGCCACCGGCCCCCCACCGCGCCGCCGCCUCCCUCCCCGCGCGCAGCGCCGCCCGGCCUCAUCCUCCCUGCCCCCGCCUCCUCCCCUUCGCCAGCGCGCCUCCACCUCCCGGCCGCCGGCGCGGCUCCACCUCCUCGUCCCGGCCGGCCAGGUGAUGCGCGCGCAUCAGUUCGCGCGAGGCCCGGCCGCCAGGCACCCUUUCGCCAUCUGGCGCGACGCCAUGGGUAAAGCCAGAGAUGGAGCUAUUCCAGCACCGGCACCUGCGACGUCAGUCCACCGACGUGCUUGGCGCCGUCCACAACUCGAUCGCGCUCGAGCUUAUGCUCCAGAUCACCUUCUUCAAUGUUCCGGCCACGGUUCCCCACUGCCAACACGAGAUCCCAACCACUUCUUCUGUAAAAACUGAAGUUAUCUAUCGGAUUAGCUCCUUCACCGGUUUCUGAAGAUGGGAAGUUCAGAGUUUGAGCAAGCGAAGGCACACUUGCACGUCGACUGUGCUCAGCCACCAGCAAUAACUUGGCAGAGGAAAUUCGAUGAUGAAGGCAAGAAGGUUGCUAUGCUUAGCAUGACCACUGAUAUCUUCACAGUUAUACCAUUGAUUUUUAAAAUGCUUCGAUUACACGUCGAAGGAAUCGCGAAAAACCAAGUUGCCGUCUAUGAUCCGCUCAGGAAAUGGAUGGACAACUGCUACCGCGGGGUACCCCUUGGCGGACUAGGUUCAGGAAGCAUAGGGAGAAGCUACCGAGGGUACUUUCAGCAGUUUCAAAUAUUCCCCAGGAUCUAUGAAGAGAAGCCUGUCCUUGCCAACCAGUUCUCAGCAUUCGUUUCGCAUCCUGGGGGGAAGAGCUACUCGACGGUGUUGAAACUGGUAUGCUGCUAUUUUUGUCAGGCUCGCCUUUUCGAUGCGCAAAAUGAUGAGGGAUAAAGCUCUGGUCAGGAGACUUUCUGCAUGCGAGACAAUGGGCAACAAGUUUUGAUUAUAUUGAUACCUAAUAAUAGCAUGUGCUCAUUUUUGAACUGAAACAAAAAGAGUCUCUCUAAUAAUAAAUGGGCUCUCUAAUAAUAAGUUCUAAGGAAAUAAAUAUAGAAGUUCAUAUUUCAAAACAAAUGAAGUAUUUUGGAAGUAAAAUAAACUAUUUCAAAGUACACAAAUUAUAUUUAGGUAUCUUUGUGUACUUCAACGUUACUGUACAUGAACUUGUACAUUUGCCUAUCCGUCAAACAGUUUGAGUUGCACUUUUUUUUUUGCCAUAUUUGAUCUAUCAUAUUUCUCUAGUUCCACCUCGUUCGUGAGUUCUUUUGACCGAGAGCUAGUAAGAUCAAACAUGAAUUUACAUCAGUUCAAAAAACAGAUUGUUGGGAAAUAAGAUUAAGACCAGAAACAAGAAAGAUGUACAAAAAGAAAAUUAAAAACCGUUUCAUUUGGACCUAUAUAAGAAAACAAUUUGCUGAUCACUACGAAAUUUAAAUAAAAACUUGGAAAAGUUUGAAAAAAAUCACAUAAAAAGUUCGAACUCCAAAACCUGGCAAAUUCAUGGUAAAAACAAAAAAAGGCAGAAAAGGUACAAUUUAUUUUUCAGUGUACCUAUAAUGUCCAGUUUUUCUUUCAGUUCAAUUCCUAGAUUUCAUUCAGUUCAAUUCUUAUGUAGGUACUUGGCGGUGGCAUUGCUUCACUUCCCUUGUUAUGCUCUCUUCGCCCAAGUUCCGAGAAUCAAGAAAACAAAUACUAGUGCUUGCAUGAAAAUGUACGAGCAAAAAAAACCCACAAAGGCCUUUGCGUAGAAACAUCACCUCCACACCCCCUCCAUUCAUGCGCAGUACAUGCUUCUCCUGCCGCCGCGCCGCCUGGAUCCAACGAGGCUGCGUCACACUGGCCCCGGAUCCGCCCGCUUCCAAUGAGGCUGCGUCACCCGCCGGCGCACCUCUGCCUCGCCGUGGGCAGUGGAUGCUUCUCCGCAGCUCAACCUCCUGGUAGCGGGUAGUUCGAUGCUCCCUGUCGCGCUACGAUCAGCGCUCCCUCGAGCUCAACAAGAAAUUCUUUCCGGCUGCGUCUGCACCUCUUAAAAGUUCACACACUCGAAGGAGGGAUCAUUGUUUCUUAUUGGAGAAGGCCUGAUGUUUAGUUGGUGUCUGUGUGGUACCUACACCAGCAUUUUCCAUCAAGACCUCCAGAAAGAGAGAUCAUCUCAAGGUGGUUCAAAUGUGUCGAGCGGCAGCAUCGCUUGAUCCCUAGUGGUUGCCCGCGCAAGGAGGAUACAGGGAUGCUACAGUGGUGGAGGAGUCAGUACAUGUAGUAGCUAGCUCAAGAAAAGCCAGCGGCCUGCUCUGGCCAUGCCGCACCACCACUGGCACGUCCACCAUGGUUGCUGGCAGCCGUCCAAGUUGAGCGCUGAUGGGAGUCCUUAGCGUGCUUCAACGACACUCUCUCAUAUCAAUCUCUCUUUCUUUGCUCCUGCUAUUAAAAUGUGUAGAUGUGCUGCUUUGCUAAUUGAGUAGUUGGGAAGAUGUGAAAAGAACAUGCUCUCUAGGUGUGUGAUUAUUCCUGUGAGCACAAAUGUAUUUAAAUGUUUAUUUUGUGCUUCAGCUUAUGCUUUUGGGCAGUACAAAUACAUCUUCAAAAAUAAGUACAGAUGCGGUCUUAUAGAACUCUAAUUGUUGUUGGAUGCUAUUCCAAAUGCCAAUGAUCAUGCAAAACGGUUAUUGCUAGAAUCUAGAUGAUAUGUAAUAUAGUUACCAUAGUUUCACCCUAUUUUUAUGGUUCUAAUUAUUGUUGCAUAAGUCUUUAAAAGAAAUGUUCGCUAAAUGUUUGUGAUCAUUGCUUGUAGGUAUUCGUAUGAACAUUAAAAUAAUGGCUUUUCUUGUAGGAGGUUCAAAGAUUGUCGUGGAGCAAGUUCAAGAGAUUAGUUUGGUGAAAAUAAUGUGAUCUUUUGGUCAGGAUUUUGCAUGAUCCAUAGCCAUCAGGCGAGCAGUUCAAGGCCUACUACGCGAGUCGUCUAUCGUCUUCUACGCAUGAUGAGCUUGUUGUCUCUACACAUCUAGCAUCAGAGUAUCUCCUCCCCUUGCCGCACACACAUGCCUGCGGUCGAGCUAGUGUUGUUUGUGAUUGCUGGUCGUGACUCUUACGUUGUCAUUGGACAAAUAAUUUGUUCUGUAACUCUGUACUGAUGGGACCUUCAGCAUAUAUGGUGUUUAGAAUUUGUUUGUAA